rnacentral:rRNA from 1 species
UGGCGGCGUGGAUAAGACAUGCAAGUCGAACGAGAGAAUUGCUAGCUUGCUAAUAAUUCUCUAGUGGCGCACGGGUGAGUAACACGUGAGUAACCUGCCCCCGAGAGCGGGAUAGCCCUGGGAAACUGGGAUUAAUACCGCAUAGUAUCGAAAGAUUAAAGCAGCAAUGCGCUUGGGGAUGGGCUCGCGGCCUAUUAGUUAGUUGGUGAGGUAACGGCUCACCAAGGCGAUGACGGGUAGCCGGUCUGAGAGGAUGUCCGGCCACACUGGAACUGAGACACGGUCCAGACACCUACGGGUGGCAGCAGUCGAGAAUCAUUCACAAUGGGGGAAACCCUGAUGGUGCGGCGCCGCGUGGGGGAAUGAAGGUCUUCGGAUUGUAAACCCCUGUCAUGUGGGAGCAAAUUAAAAAGAUAGUACCACAAGAGGAAGAGACGGCUAACUCUGUGCCAGCAGCCGCGGUAAUACAGGGGUCUCAAGCGUUGUUCGGAAUCGCUGGGCGUAAAGCGUGCGUAGGCUGUUUCGUAAGUCGUGUGUGAAAGGCGCGGGCUCAACCCGCGGACGGCACAUGAUACUGCGAGACUAGAGUAAUGGAGGGGGAACCGGAAUUCACGGUGUAGCA